rnacentral:rRNA from 1 species
GACGUAGGGGGCCAGCGUUGUUCGGAAUUACUGGGUGUAAAGGGUUCGUAGGCGGUGCGGCAAGUUGGGAGUGAAAUCUCUGGGCUUAACCCAGAGGCUGCUUCCAAAACUGCUGUGCUUGAGUGUGGGAGAGGCGCGUGGAAUUGCAGGUGUAGCGGUGAAAUGCGUAGAUAUCUGCAGGAACACCCGUGGCGAAAGCGGCGCGCUGGACCACUACUGACGCUGAGGAACGAAAGCGUGGGUAGCAAACAGG